rnacentral:rRNA from 1 species
GACAGAGGAUGCAAGCGUUAUCCGGAAUGAUUGGGCGUAAAGCGUCUGUAGGUGGCUUUUUAAGUCCGCCGUCAAAUCCCAGGGCUCAACCCUGGACAGGCGGUGGAAACUACCAAGCUGGAGUACGGUAGGGGUAGAGGGAAUUUCCGGUGGAGCGGUGAAAUGCGUAGAGAUCGGAAAGAACACCAACGGCGAAAGCACUCUGCGCUGGCCGACACAUGACACUGAGAGACGAAAGCUAGGGGAGCGAAUGGG